AAUUUAAACAAAGUUCACAGUGCAAAAAGAGAAAACAAGCGAAGAUUUUCCCUUGUGGACACACAGCCAGGAGGACGGCAGUGAUUGGAUAUUAGUAGACCAUUUCUAGAGGAUGUUAAACUUGAUGUUGUUGCAACCUCGAUGGGCAACACCACCCAGGGAAUCUAUGACCUUGUACAUGAAGGAGCAGAUGCUACAGACCCAUAUGAAGAUGUUGGCAUCAUUAAUAAAGGCAUCCAAAUAUUUGAAAACCUGAACAAUGUGGCAAAUGCAUGUUCUGUGAUACUUGGUCUAAUUUAUGCAUUAAACUUGGCUUACCCACAAGAUCUGAGAUACACUUUUGAAGUAUUUCAAAAGAUAUUUAUGGAACUAAAUGCAAACAAGCAUUCAAACAAGGUCCAUACAUACAUACUGUAUGUUUUCUCCAUAAAGUUGUGCUGUUUGCUGUAGCAGUACAUUUGUUUCAGUACUGAUCAUGUUCAUUCCUUGAAUAACUGAUGCAUUGUCAGCUUUUUCCAGUUUCAAAGAAAAAGGAGAUAUUAAAAAAUAGUUUAUUAUUAUUUGUUUGUAUUAUUAUUUUGUAAAUGCUUAUAGUUUUAUUAGUAUUUUUGUAAUAAGUAAAA